GAGCGGAGGGCGCAUAGGAAUCGCAGAUUCCUAUUUUGGAUGCGCCCGACAACCUGCCGACGAGCGUAUGCGAGUGGGCGAUACCCGAG
ncrna:unclassified sequences GA-cis RNA